UUUCUCUCCCUCUUUUUUGUAAAUCAAACAUGGAUGUGAAAAAACUAUGAAGAAGCAAAACGACGUCGCGAUGUUCCUUACGAGGCACGUCUUAUCUUUUGCGUCCGCCUCCAAACCUAAUGUCAUCUUCCUACCGGCAUCAAUAAACGCUGCGAUCAUAAUCUCCUUCCUCGGAUCUUCUUCAACCGAUGAGCUCAAAACCGUCUUCCGCAAACUAUCCUUCAUUGCCGACAGCAAGAUAUGGACAUAUAUAUAGUCCCAUGUUUUAUUCGACAUGUUCCAUAUUCAAUCCAUGAUUUGAUGUUGAUAAGAUUAAAAAAAAAAAAAAAAGCUUAAAAAUUUCGUGUUGAUGAUUUUAGGUUGUUCUAACUCCUACACAUCUUGGGAUUGUAAUGGAGUAUGCAGCUGGAGGAGAACUGUUCGAAUGGAUAUCUACCGCGGGUCGAUUUAGCGAACCUGAGGCUAGAUAUUUUUUUCAACAACUCAUUUGCGGAGUGCAUUACAUACAAUGUCAUGGCUGAAAUAUCUAAGGAGGAGAGUUGGUCAGGGUGUCCCAGGGAGCCGUUGUUCCGUAUUCUAGUGGGUCGCAUCACUUGUGGCAAUGAUGUUGUCAUUGACAAAAUUAUGAAAGAGACAAGGGCUCGAAUAAAGUUUCUCUAUGGUCCUCCAUGCACAAAUAGCUCUGAGUCUAAAUUUUUUUUCCUUUCAUGCCUUUACAUUUCAUGUUAUAUGUGUUGCUAUUUAGUAGAAUAUAACAUGCCUUUCAUGCCUUUACCAAAACUAAAAUUUUUUUUUCCUUUCAUGCCUUUACCAAAACUAAAAUUCUAAUGAUAAUAC